rnacentral:pre_miRNA from 1 species
UUGAAACAUGUUUACAAACAAAAGUUAUUGUGCGCUGGUCAUUAUGCUCAGCACACAAUAAUUUUUGUUUGGAAACAUGUUUU